GACUGAGCCAGAUUCAAACCUACACCUGAAUGCACGGUUCAGGUGUUGUGAUGCACCAGUGCUCCCUGCUGCACCACUGUGCUGCCACAUAAUGUGUCUGCAAUUAUAGUGUGUGAGUGACAGAGAGUGUGUGCUCCACUGAUGUAAGGAAGAAUGCCCCAGUGUAAGUAGUGUAUCUAGCAGUGUAAGUCCCCUUGGUGAAUAAGGUGUGUGGGCUGAUAACACUAUGUAGUGUUCACUGGAAGUCGCUUUGGAGAAAAGCAUCUGCUAAAUGAAUAAAUGUAAAUGUACUAGAGUGCAGAGGCCGCAGCGAGAGCGCAACAUUCUUGUGAAAAUGUAAUAGUGUCUGGUUGCCAAUAGGAGGGGCUAUAGGAUAACUCUCUCCACCUCACCAUCAGCUGGACAAGCGGUGCCUACUGGGGAUGAUCUUCUGGUACAGGCUGGAGAGCUGUGAGAAGCGGAAGGGGCAGAACUCCUGGGGAGGCCUCCGUGGGAAUAAAGGUGUCUGCCUGCCCUGAACUGGAACACGAAGCUUUAAGAUUGUACGAUUGCAUCACGGCGGAGAGGAACACUGGAAGACACCAUCAGGUAGGCCCUACCUGUCCCUGCUUUACCCGCCUGUCACCUUCUAACCCUGCUACGCCUC
rnacentral:lncRNA from 1 species